UACGGAGGGUGCAAGCGUUGUCCGGAUUUAUUGGGUUUAAAGGUGCGUAGGCGGUCUUUUAAGUCAGCGGUGAAAUCCUCCAGCUUAACUGGAGACUGCCAUUGAUACUGGAAGACGUUGAGUACAGACGAGGUAGGGCGGAAUUGACAGUGUAGCGGUGAAAUGCAUAGAUAUUGUCGAAGAACACCGAUUGCGAAGGCAGCUUACGUAGACUGUAACUGACGCUGAGGCACGAAAAGUGUGGGGGAGUC
rnacentral:rRNA from 1 species